GCCCUAGUAGCUCAGGGAUCAGAGCAUCGGUUUUGUAAUCCGAAUGUCGGAGAUUAGAAUCCUCCCUAGUGCU
rnacentral:tRNA from 1 species